GCUCUCACUUUGGCUGUACAUAUGCUAAAAUUGGAAGGAUUAGGCAGAUAUUAGCAUGGUCCUUGUACAAGGAUGGCAUGCAAAUUCAGGAAGCGUUCCAUUUUUUUCU
rnacentral:snRNA from 1 species